AUGAUUGGAUCCGAAUGAUAUAAUUCACUGAUUGUUUUCACAAUAAAUUGUUGACAUAAUUUAUUUUAUUUCUAAUCAAAUUAAGUGCCAAUAUUUAUGUUCAUCAAUUGCAGAGGAAAACAACAACAACAACAUAACGAAAACAAGUUGUCCAAACCUCUCAUUGAUUAGUUAAUUGCUUCAGGCUUAAUAAUUUGAAUUUAAUUUUUUUUCCAUUUUGAUCAACCCAAUUCCCUAAAGUGAUUGUUAAAUGUAUCUCAUUAUUAGUGAAAAGAAUAUUAAAUUGUAACAAUUUAAUUGGAUAGAGAAAAGAAAUAAAAAACAAACUCAUCUAUACUCUUAGGCUUUUGUCUCCAAUUAAAGAAUUUGAUUGUAAUCAUUAGUGGAAUCCAUUCGGUACCAUGAGCUGGUUAAUUCUCCUAAUUUAACCGGUGAAAUGGUUAAGUGAUUAAUGGAUCAAAAGUCACAAAUAGUUCCAUGUAUAUAUUGAAUUAAAUAAUAGAAUGAUUUGGAUUCCAAGAGAAGGGAAGAUUUAACCUGGAAAACGAUUUAAUCGGUUCAACGGUUUACACAAAAUGAAUUGAGAAAAAAAGUCGAAAAAGAUUGGGAUCGAGAAAGAAAUUCAAAUACAUUCACAUUGGAGGUGAAAGUUUAGAAUUGAGUCAAUGGAAAUGUUAAAAUAAUCCAUUGAUUUAAGUUUGAUUUUCGUUCAAUUCAAUCUAAGGUAAAUAACCAUUGGUGACUUGGUGAUGGUUUCAAAGACAAUGGAGCUGUAAUGGUCAGUGGAAAAUGGAUCAAGUCCAUCAGAGGACUGAACAUGAAUUCGCCAUGAAAAAAGUGACAUCACCAUGGGGAUGUAAGAAGAUGGAGAUGGAGACAAAGGAGAGGAACCAUGAAGCAUGAUUAAAGCCUUUGGGUUUUAAAAUAUCCAUGUUAUUAUUAUAUCCAUGGGGUGGGAAAAGAUGAUGAUGAGAGAGAGAGAAUCAUCCAAGUCCAUUGAGAAUUGUUGAGCCAUGAAUCGUGUCUUGAAAUUGGAGUAAAUUCUUUUAUCAUUUUUCUUCUCAUUCUUUCCUCAUAUCGAAACUUAUCCACCUUCAAUUUCAUGAGGAAGAAGAGGAGAAAAAAUUGACAACCUAAUAUCUUCACAAUGAGAAAAAAAAUCUCAUUGAAUAAGAUGAAGAGAUGAUGAUGAUGAUGAUGAACAAAGAUGCUGCCUGGAAGAGGAAGAGGAUAUUCAGGAAGUAGAAGCAAAGAACAAGUUGAUCAACAUGGAGUUGAUAAUGUCUUUUAAGAAGAAUGGAGAAAAAAUCUUACCUCAUCUUCACCAUUAUCUUUAUCAUCAUCAUCACCUGAAAGAAAGAAAAAAAGUUCCAUGUUUAUCUUUGUAAUUUUUUCUUCUUCAUCAUCUUCUUUUAUCUCCCUGAAUGAUGAUACUGAUUCUGUCACAUGUCAACACAACAUCAAUGAGGUUUAUAAGUAACAUUGUUUUCUAACACAAUUUAAACACAUUCUCACUUAUAUUUGCUUAUUAUUAUUCCCUACACUUCACCCACCCAUACCCACUCCUUUAGAUUCAGAGCUGAGCGUUUCAAUCCAUGUGAUUCGAAAGAUAUUACGAGAAAAAAAAGAUGGAGGAAGAAGAUAAUAUGUGAACAGGGAAUAAUUCUUGGAAUACCUAAAGAAAAAGAUAGUAAUUACCCUGGAAAUUGAGUAUAUUCUGUGUAUAUAUUCAUGUGGAAUUGCUUGUUAUCCUUUUCUCUCUCUCUCUCCAUCACAAAAAAAGAGGCUCAAGAGGAUGAAAAGGAAGAUGAAGAAAAAAAUGCUUCCAAGACAAGAGAUGGAAGAAUUUAUCUUCCCAUGUAAUAUAUAUAAUUCUUGUUGCACUUUUUAAUAUUGAAAAGUUUCAUGGAAGAAAAUAUAUCGAAUAUAUAUUUUAUUCCUAAGAUUUUUCAUUUCAACUUCUCAACUAUCAGUCUACAGAAUCAUUGAAAGAAGAUACAAAUUUGCUGUUUCCAUGGAUGAGGAACAGGAGGAAGAUGAGGAUGACAAAUGUAUCCAAACAUGAUGACGAUUUAUGCAAAAAAAACUGUUUACAGUUAUUUCAACAUGAGAAAUGAGAUUUUUACUGAACAUAUCAAGAGAUUGGAUUGCAAUUGCUUAUUGCCUGUUAUUCAAUUGAAGAUCUUCAUUAAUUCCUCAUAAUCAUCAUUCAUGAUGUUUAUUAUCCAUGUGAGGAUUUACUGUUAUUUCAAAUUGCCUUGAAAUUUACAUUUCACGAAGAGGAGGUGAUACUGGAAGGUGGAAAGAUACAAGGCUCGAGAAUCAAAAAGGUUAUUUCUUUAUGGAAACCAAGGCCCGGAAGUCAUGUAGUGAUAAAUCAACACACCUUAAUAGUGAAAGAAGCAGAGGAAAGAAAAUAAGAGGAACCAUGAAAAGUCAAACAACAGAAUUGGGAAUAUAUGGAAUGAAGAAGCAGCCGAGAAGGAGGAAGAAGUAAAAAGAGAUAUUCGAAUGAAAGAAAAAAAGAAAGAGGAAGAGAGAGAGAAAAAUAGAAAGAAGUGAAGAUGAUAUAACAUGAGGGAGGAAAAGUCAUGGUAAAAAUAUCGAUCGGACUGUUGAAUUACCUUCUCUUCCAUGUAGAGAAAUCAGAUAACAAUGAAGCGAAGCAAAAUAUUUGCUAUUCAUUGGUUUUCUCUUUCUUUCCUUUCAUCAUCAUCAUCAUCUUUCUCUUUCUUUUCUCAACUUUUAUCUCUGUUAUUUUAUUUUUUUUUAUUCUUCAAUGAAGAAAAGAGUAAAAUCAAUUUUGAGUGAUUUCCUUUAUCAUUUCAUUCAUUCAAUCUUCCUUUUCUCUCUUUAUCAUCACUCACGAUCAUCAUCAUCAUCUUUACCUUUCUCUCUCUCUCUCACUCUACCUUAGUAAAUAUAAUAUUAUUUUGCUAUGUGACUCGAAUCAGCAAAAUGUUAACAACUUUAUCUCAUGUUGUUGUCGCCAUCAAAUGGAUUCUUAACUCGACUAAGCUUAUCAACAACAUCGACAACAAUAAUAACAACACAACAAAUAAUUCAAUCGCCAUUUAAACUUGAACAUGAGAUUCAAUAUAUUCAACUGAAUGAAACGAUGAAAUUAUUGAAACAACUUCAACAGACAAAUAAAACUUGAUCAUAUUGAUACAUUAUCAGGAGAAGGAGAUGAUAAUAGGAGUGAGAAGAUGACAAAUAUCCAUGGAGAUGUUAUCGAAAUAAGGAUUUUGCUUGUUGAUCCCAUUGGACUUUUUAAAUCCCUCUAGAAGGAUGAGGAUGGAGAAUGAGGAAUGAUAAUGAUGAGAGAGAGAGAGAGAGAGAAGAGAUGAAGUAAAUAGAGAAGAAUAAAAAUAACGGCAGGUUAAUCUUCUUUACUUUUUUCAUCUUCAUCUUCUUCUCAUCAUCAAUAUUAUCUUCUCCACACUGAUCAUCAUCAUCAUCAUCGUCAUUCUUUUCCUUCCACUUGCCACCUUCAUGGAGAAAACCUUUACCUUUUAGAUUGAAGGGAGAAGAUGACAAAAGGAAAAGGAUGAUGAUGAUAAUAUUUCAAAUCUUGAGAUAAAAUUGAUCCUCUUGUUAGUUUAACAUAUAAACUUAAAUUGUCAAUUUUGCUCCUUAAAUUGAUACCAGGUAAAUAUUAACUCCAAAGAAAAGAUAAUCCAAAAGUAUAACAAUUCAUUUCCAUCAUUUUGAAAAAUCGUCUUAAUCUUUUAUCAUCUUGACGAUAAGUUGAAUAAUUUUUCAUUCUUCUUCUUAAAACUUAUUGAAAUUCAUUAUUAUUCCUCUUAAGAU